rnacentral:rRNA from 1 species
AGUGAACGCUGGCGGUAGGCCUAACACAUGCAAGUCGAACGGCAGCACAGUAAGAGCUUGCUCUUACGGGUGGCGAGUGGCGGACGGGUGAGGAAUACAUCGGAAUCUACUUUUUCGUGGGGGAUAACGUAGGGAAACUUACGCUAAUACCGCAUACGACCUACGGGUGAAAGCAGGGGAUCUUCGGACCUUGCGCGAUUGAAUGAGCCGAUGUCGGAUUAGCUAGUUGGCGGGGUAAAGGCCCACCAAGGCGACGAUCCGUAGCUGGUCUGAGAGGAUGAUCAGCCCAACUGGAACUGAGACACGGUCCAGACUCCUAAGGGAGGCAGCAGUGGGGAAUAUUGGACAAAGGGCGCAAGCCUGAUCCAGCCAUACCGCGUGGGUGAAGAAGGCCUUCGGGUUGUAAAGCCCUUUUGUUGGGAAAGAAAAGCAGCAGGUUAAUACCCCGCUGUUCUGACGGUAACCAAAGAAUAAGCACCGGCUAACUUCGUG